rnacentral:snoRNA from 1 species
AUCCCAUGAUGAGCGCACUUACGAAGUAAUUCUUUGAACCUCUCCCAUGCCUCGUAUAAAGAUUCGUCAUCCAAUUGUUGAAAGGUGGUUAUCUCAUUUUGGAACUU